rnacentral:rRNA from 1 species
UUGAGAGUUUGAUCCUGGCUCAGAACGAACGCUGGCGGCAGGCUUAACACAUGCAAGUCGAACGAAGUCUUCGGACUUAGUGGCAGACGGGUGAGUAACGCGUGGGAACCUACCUUUCGGUACGGAACAACAGUUGGAAACGACUGCUAAUACCGUAUGCGCCCUACGGGGGAAAGAUUUAUCGCCGAGAGAUGGGCCCGCGUUGGAUUAGCUAGUUGGUGGGGUAAUGGCCUACCAAGGCGACGAUCCAUAGCUGGUCUGAGAGGAUGAUCAGCCACACUGGGACUGAGACACGGCCCAGACUCCUACGGGAGGCAGCAGUGGGGAAUAUUGGACAAUGGGCGAAAGCCUGAUCCAGCAAUGCCGCGUGAGUGAUGAAGGCCUUAGGGUUGUAAAGCUCUUUUACCAGGGAUGAUAAUGACAGUACCUGGAGAAUAAGCUCCGGCUAACUCCGUGCCAGCAGCCGCGGUAAUACGGAGGGUG